rnacentral:rRNA from 1 species
UACAGAGGUCUCAAGCGUUGUUCGGAUUCAUUGGGCGUAAAGGGUGCGUAGGCUGCGAGGUAAGUCUGGUGUGAAAUCCCGGGGCUCAACCCCGGAACUGCACUGGAUACUGCUUUGCUAGAGUACUGGAGAGGGAACUGGAAUUUACGGUGUAGCAGUGAAAUGCGUAGAUAUCGUAAGGAAGACCAGCGGCGAAGGCGAGUUCCUGGACAGUUACUGACGCUGAGGAACGAAGGCCAGGGGAGCAAACGGG